AUCAUCAUCACCAUCCUCACCAUCACCAUCACCAUCAUCACAAUUGUGCCAUCUCACCAUUCUCACAACCAUCACCAUCAUGACCACCUUCAUUAUCAUCACCGUGACCACCAUUAUCACCACCAUCACCAUCAGCACCAUCAUCAGUGACAUAAUCUCUAAGUAUAAUCACCAAUUCUAAACACCGGUCUUUGAAAUCUAGUGUAUAUUUUACACUUACAGCACAUCUCAGUUUCAAGGAAGCUCCAUUUUCA
rnacentral:lncRNA from 1 species